GUAGGGAAUAUUGCACAAUGGGCGAAAGCCUGAUGCAGCAACGCCGCGUGCGCGAAGAAGGCCUUCGGGUUGUAAAGCGCUUUUCUGGGAGAUGAGGAAGGACAGUAUCCCAGGAAUAAGGCUCGGCUAACUACGUGCCAGCAGCCGCGGUAAAACGUAGGAGCCAAGCGUUAUCCGAAUUCACUGGGCGUAAAGCGCGUGCAGGCGGCCUGGUAAGUUGGAUGUGAAAUCUCCCGGCUCAACUGGGAGAGGCCGUUCAAUACUGCUGGGCUAGAGGGCGACAGAGGGAGGUGGAAUUCCGGGUGUAGUGGUGAAAUGCGUAGAUAUCCGGAGGAACACCAGAGGCGAAGGCGACCUCCUGGGUCGCACCUGACGCUCAGACGCGAAAGCUAGGGGAGCGAACGGGAUUAGAUACCCGAGUAGUCC
rnacentral:rRNA from 1 species